UACGGGGGGGGGCAAGCGUUGUUCGGAAUUACUGGGCGUAAAGGGCUCGUAGGCGGCCAACUAAGUCAGACGUGAAAUCCCUCGGCUUAACCGGGGAACUGCCUCUGAUACUGGAUGGCUUGAGAUUGGGAGAGGGAUGCGGAAUUCCAGGUGUAGCGGUGAAAUGCGUAGAUAUCUGGAGGAACACCGGUGGCGAAGGCGGCAUCCUGGACCAACACUGACGCUGAGGAGCGAAAGCCAGGGGGAGCAAACGGGG
rnacentral:rRNA from 1 species